ACACUUCGCGGAAGAGUCCGGCGGUUUCCGCCGCCGGCGCCGAAGGCGCAACCGCCCCGGAAACGCUCAGGCCCGCAGGACCGCGAAGUG
rnacentral:ncRNA from 1 species